AGCCCCGUAGUGUAGUGGUCAAUCAUGCGAGGUUCUGGGCCUUGCGACCUCAGUUCGAAUCUGAGCGGGGCUA
rnacentral:tRNA from 1 species